ensembl:lncRNA
GUCUGUUAUAUCUGGAGUAUUUCUCCUGUCUUAUACGGUGUCCUGUGUGAAUUUAAGUAUGCUCUCUCUCUCUCUCUCUCUCUCUCUCUCUCUCUCUCUCUCUCUCUCUCUCAGAGGACCUGAGCCCUAGGACCAUGCCUCAGGACUACCUGGCAUGAUGACUCCUUGCUGUCCCCAGUCCACGUGGCCGUGCUGCUGCUCCAGUUUCAACAGUUCUGCCAGCGCCUAUGGAAACCUGACCUGUUCACCGGACGUACUACCUGUCCCAGACCUGCCGUUUUAUACUUUCUAGAGACAGCAGGAGCAGUAGAGAUAUUCUGAAUGAUCGGCUAUGAAAAGCCAACUGACAUUUACUCCUGAGGUGCUGACUUGUUGCACCCUCGACAACUACUGUGAUUAUUAUUAUACGACCAUGCUGGUCAUUUAUGAACCUUUGAACAUCUUGGCCAUGUUCUGUUAUAAUCUCCACCCGGCACAACAAGAAGAGGACUGGCCACCCCUCAUAGCCUGGUUCCUCUCUAGGUUUCUUCCUAGGUUUUAGCCUUUCUAGGGAGUUUUUUCCUAGCCACCGUGCUUCUACACCUGCAUUGCUUGCUGUUUGGGGUUUUAGGCUGGGUUUCUGUACAGCACUUUGAUAUAUCAGCUGAUGUAAGAAGGGCUAUUUAAAUACAUUUGAUUUGAUUUGAUUUGGCAAAAGAGGUAUUGUAUCCCAAUAAAUUAGCUGGUGGACCUCUUCGGCUAGCCAGGAGAUGGACCUAGCUCGAGGCUAGCUCAGGGAUAACUGGUGCUUGCUUCUGGACAGAGACGUCAGCCACUCGGAUUGCAGCUACGAUGCUCCGGUGUAAAGGUUGAAUUGAUAAUAAUAUUAAUAUUGAUACUAAGAAUGUUAUGUAUCUUUAGACUUCAUGGCAGCUAUUAAUAUUAUUGAUCAUCUGUUAUUGAUUACCUAUUACGACACUUUAUAUUGGUGUUUCCUUUAUUUUGGUAGCGACCUGUAGAUCCACAAAUGUUUUUCUCUAUACAGAAUAGUCAUCUCAUUGUAAAUUAUGGAGGUUAUUCCAUUCCAUAGGCUAUAAUACCUAAUGGGUGAUUUCUGGCAGAGGUAAAGUUGCAAAAAGUAUCUGCUCUUCCAGAAAACACAGAUGAAUCAUAUUCCUGGAGUAAGAAAGGAGCAGGAAAUCCACACGGUGUCCUCCUUUGGGGGGGGGGGGCAGAGUUGACAUCUCCUCCUCCUACCUGCCCCAGCUGCUGCCUCAGGUGAUUCAGGACAACAUUCAGCCUCCUGAACAGCUUUCACAAGCUCUGCAGAGGCUGCUGUGCAGGGGAGGCUCUCCCUUCUUUGAAUGUGUGGGGUUACGAGUGCCUGUCCCAGCUGCUCCAGGGACACCCUACUCUUGUGGAAGAUGACCAGGGGCCAGCGGGCAGUGAUCCUCCUGCAGCUGACAAUGACCCAACACACCUCCAGGCUGUGUAAGGGCUAUUUGACCAAGAAGGAGAGUGAUGGAGUGCUGCAUCAGAUGACCUGGCCUCCACAAUCCCCCAUCCUCAAGCAAAUUGAGAUAUUUUGAGAUGAGUGGGACCACAGAGUUCAGGAAAAGCAGACAACAAGUGCUCAGCAUUUUUGGGAACUCCUUCAAGACUGUUGAAAAAGCAGGUGAAGUUUAUUGAGAGAAUGCUCUAACAAUUUUUUGGUUAAUACAUGAUUCCAUAUGUGUUAUUUCAUAGUUUUGAUGUCAUCACUAUUAUUCUACAAAGUAGAAAAUAGAAACUAAUAGCAAAAUCCUUGAAUGAGUAGGUGUUUUAAAACCACUCCACAAAUGUCUUGUUAACAAACUAUAGUUUUGGCAAGUCAGUUAGGACAACUACUUUGUGCAUGACACAAGUCAUUUUUCCAACAAUUGCUUGUGCUUGUGGAAGUGCUUGUGGAAGGCUACGCAAAACAUUUGACCCAAGUUAAACAAUUUAAAGGCAACGCUACCAAAUACUAAUUGAGUGUAUGUAAACUUCUGACCCAUUGGGAAUGUGAUAAAAGAAAUCAAAUCUGAAAUAAAUCAUUCUCCCUCUACAAUUAUUCUGACAUUUCACAUUCUUAAAAUAAAGUGGUGAUCCUAACUGACCUAAAACAGGGGAUUUUUACUAGGAUUAAAUGUCAGUAAUUGUGGAAAAACGGAGUUUAAAAGUAUUUGGCUACAGUGUAAACUUCUACCUUCAACUGUAUCUAUGUAUAUGUAUUAUUAGUGUUAUUGUUAUUAUUAUUGUACACAUUUGAAUACAUUUACAAACAUCUGUGAUUGGCUGAUA